CACAGGGUUCAGCACAUUUGAUUGUAAUGGAUAAGCCGUGCUCUGGGGAAACCAACUUGUGAUCAUGGUAUCUCCCCUGCCAGCUGGCAUGGACACAUCUACAUCAGGGUUCACAAUGUCACUCCAAAGGCACUUGCUGAGGAAUCUUGAAGGAGAAGGAUUUUUCUGAAUUCUCAAAGAAACAUGUAUUUUAAACGAAUCUAUCAGGAUUCUUAAACAUGGGCAACACAGACAGACUCCAGCUGAUUUAAACUCAUUUAUUAAAAGACAUUGAGUUGUUCAUAGGACUGUUAGGAGAGUUGGGGAACCAGGGCUGGCGGCUAGGACGGCAGAGCACAGCACCAAAAUCAUGCCACGGAAUGGCCUGGUGAGGACGCCACUGCUGUGGUUCUUAGCAGUUGCUGUGGCUUUUGGCAGGUGCUGUCUCUGCCGCUGACACAGAAGCACUGCUGCUCCAGGUAUAGGAUGGGGACAGCCCUGCAACCGCUGCUGCCAUAGAAACACCAUCUUGCUGCAACUGCUGCCACCUCUAGAAAGGAUCUCAGAGUCGCUGUUGCUUUGUGUCACAAGCACCUGAUUCAGAUUCCAGGGUCUGUGUUUUUGAUUGAUCUGGCCCUGCCCACCGUCUCCUGAGUCAUUGCUGCCACCACUUCACUGGCCUUGGGGUUGCUGCUUUCCUUUUUACCACUCUUCCUCUUUAUGGACCUGUACAGUUUCCUGAAUUCCUAACAGAAGAGAUGUGAUGGAAGGGAUCUCACGUGGUCAGAUCGGUGCCAGCCUCUGGAGAAGAGAUGAAGGGGACUAAUCGGAGUCAGAGACAUCAACUGGAGGGCUGCUGUAGUCAUUCUGGUGAGAGGUGGGGGUGGCCAGAACUGGUUGAUUCCUGCUCCUCCUGUCACAUGAUUCCAGAUCCAUCAUGAACCUUAUUAUAGGGAUGAGAACUCAUUUCCAUUUGUCAUUGUGGUUCCCGCUCAUCUUUGAAAGAUGCACAUUAAGCCUGAGACUGUCUGGUCACAGAACACCAGGAAAGUUUAUUUGGCUUCCAAUAAGUCGUGGGAUUCCAGGCCUGCUUGUGGAAGAGAAUCUCACUCAAAGUCAUAACAGGUGAAACUUCUCCAUCUGCCUUCCUAUUCCAGUCCCUUGCCACACCAUUCCAAAGACAGGGGUGUGGGGCAGUGGUGGAGGGACAGACAAAGCAGGAGGAUGAUGGAACUUUCAAACAUGUUUUCUAACAUUUUUGGACUUCUUGUGGGCUAAUGACCGCUAAGACAUAACUAAACACCAAAGACCUCUGUAAAAUUGGAAUUAGGUUAAAAUUUUAUCAGAGGGUCAAAAUUUAUCAGAGGACAACAGGAAGGUCUCUUUGUUAUUGGUUUGUCUCAAAUGCUUGGUUGUUUCAGAAGCCUCAGAGUUGAUGAAACCUGUGUGUCUCUCACUAAAUGUUGGCGCAUCCAAUGGCUAAGAAUCCUUAAGCACCAAGACUUUCAUUUUGUAUCUUUGGGAUGUGGAAGCAGACCUCUUUAUAUUCCUCUCAAAACAGGCUAAGGAUUACAAAUAUUGAGCAAUAUUUGUACAAUAUGUAUGUUGUGAAUAUAUGCCCACAACAUUCUGUAGUUUGGCCAAAUGGUGAUUCUUGCAGUGUGGUCUCUUCAGGUCCCUGCAGAUGAAUCAUCUGGGAUCCUUUUUAAAAUUACUUGUUCCCAUGGCCCAUUUCCAUCAAAUGAAUUCAGAUUUUUAGGGGUGGAGCUCAAGAGUCUCAAUUUUUAACAACUUCUUUGGGAAACCACAAUGUUCAUGAAUGUUUGAGCUCAAUUUAAUAGAGCUCAAGGAAAAAGAGAGACAAAGGAAUGAACAAGAUUCCUGAUGAAGGAGAAUAAGAAAGAAGGAAAAGACUUCAACCAGGGGGCUUAGACCAAAAAGGAAUCAGUUAUGUAAUAAUAUCUCCAUAUCAUAAAAUACAGCAAUUUAAAUGUUGUAGAUGAAUAUGUAUUGACAUGGAAAUUUAUCUAUGACUUGUUGGAAAAUGCAAAACAGUGUAUAUGGUAUAAUUCCAUUUUACAUGUAUAUAUGCAUAGAAAACAUAUCUCAAAUUCAUUCAUUCAUUCAAAAACUAUUCAUUGAGUUAACAGUGAUGAACAAAAUUGAUAUGGUCCUUUUCUCAUGGUUUAAUAUGUAUACAUCAUAUAUCAUUUUAUUAGUAUAUUAUUUCUGGAUAUAGGAGUUUAUAGUGCUUAAUGAAUUUUAUAAUUUUUAUGUAGGUAACAUACAUAGCUUUUACAAUAAAAAAAAUGAAUAUAAAUGGUCUCCUUAUAUAUGUCUUUAAUUUUAUGAAUCAUGUUCCUUGUUAACAGGGUGCUUUUCUGCCUUCAUCUUCUUUUAUACCAGAUGUAACAGUUUGUAUGUAUUACGUCGCCCAGAAAAAGCCAUGUUCUUUGAUGCAAUCUUGUGGGGCAGAUGUAUUAGUGUUGAUUAAGUUGGAAUCUUUGGAUUCUGUUGUUUCCAUAGAGAUGUGACUCACCCAACUGUAGGUGAUAACUC